rnacentral:rRNA from 1 species
GCCUCAGUAACGGCGAGUGAAGCGGCAACAGCUCAAAUUUGAAAUCUGGCCCUUUCCGGGUCCGAGUUGUAAUUUGGAGAGGGUGUUUCGGGCGAGGCGCCGACCUAAGUCCUUUGGAACAGGGCGUCAUAGAGGGUGAGAAUCCCGUAUGCGGCCGGUGACCGACCCCAUGUGAAACCCCUUCGACGAGUCGAGUUGUUUGGGAAUGCAGCUCUAAAUGGGUGGUAAAUUUCAUCUAAAGCUAAAUACCGGCCAGAGACCGAUAGCGCACAAGUAGAGUGAUCGAAAGAUGAAAAGCACUUUGGAAAGAGAGUUAAAAAGUACGUGAAAUUGUUGAAAGGGAAGCGCUUGCAACCAGACCUGCUUUCGGGUGAUCAACCGUCGCUCUCGGCGGUGCACUCGCCCGUUGCAGGCCAGCAUCGGUUCGGGCGGCCGGACAAAGGCCCCGGGAAUGUAGCUUCCUCCGGGAAGUCUUAUAGCCCGGGGUGCAAUGCGGCCAGCCCGGACCGAGGACCGCGCUUCGGCUAGGAUGCUGGCGUAAUGGUUGUAAGCGGCCCGUCUUGAAACACGGACCAAGGAGUCUAACAUCUAUGCGAGUGUUUGGGUGUCAAACCCAUGCGCGGAAUGAAAGUGAACGGAGGUGAGAACCCGCAAGGGCGCAUCAUCGACCGAUCCAGAUGUCUUCGGAUGGAUUUGAGUAAGAGCAUAGCUGUUGGGACCCGAAAGAUGGUGAACUAUGCCUGAAUAGGGUGAAGCCAGAGGAAACUCUGGUGGAGGCUCGCAGCGGUUCUGACGUGCAAAUCGAUCGUCAAAUUUGGGUAUAGGGGUAAGUCAAUUAGACUCCAGAUAUAUAAAUACAAUUGCUAACUU